ensembl:lncRNA
UUCGUAUCUUGGUAAGUUCUUCUCAAGUUCUUCUUUAAGUAAACCAUAAUAUGUGGAAACACUAGGUUUUUGAGCGUUGAUGGGCUUGUAUAUGUCCAGUCCCUGAUAGGACAGUCCCACUGUAUCCUGUGCAUCUGAUCACAAUACAGCUUCAUGUUGAUACACUUGCAGAUCAUGGCGUCACAUAAGGCCAGCUAGCCGAUCUAUACAUUGGAUUUCCUGCUCUGAAGGAGUUUGGGAUCUCUCAUCACUUCUGCAGACAAGGUUUUACCUGAAGAACCCGCCACUCGGAAAUGCCUGUGAGCUUUUAAGCACUGCUAUUGGCCAGAGCAGGUCAGAAUCUGAGCGCCAGGUCUGCUAGAAGGGAGGAACAGAGCUUUGGACUCCAAAUAAUCACUUACCAGGAGGGUCUUCCAGUCUGGAAAUGGUUUGGCUUUCUGCCUGGAUCAAAAGCAAGAACUGUAUUUGCCUUUGAGAAAAGGAUUUGUGACCAGACUUUUGUUUUCCAGUGCUGUUUUACAGAAAUCUGCAACCACAUACUACCCAGAUGUGUUUGUUAUAUGAGGAUAGAAAUAUUUCAUGCCCUUUUGGAGCAAAAGUGGCUUCAGAAUUAAUGGUGAUCCACUCAGCAUCACUGACCAUAGCCUCAGAACUGCUUGACUGUUCAGUGGGCACAUGGCAAUGAGGAAGAGUGAGACCCACUAGGUGAGACCUCACAAGGUGAGGAAAUUGGAGAACUAUGAUUCUGAUGUCUGUAAAAGUAAGAUGGAGGAAAGUAAUUAUCUUUUGAGUGACAUUAGGGGAGGUUCGAAGGAGUGAGUUUAUAAAUGGGGAAAGGUACAAUUAAGGCAGUCAGGGAUUAUUAGUAUCUGAUAAAGGUAUAAGAAAUACUUCUCUACAGAGUCAACCCCUUGUACACUAAUCAACACAACCUCACACCAUGAAGAAUUUGAUAGACCAAUGAAAGGGCAGAUAGCCAGCUUUUUUAUUACAUCUAACAUUAAUAUUAGUUUGGUGUAAAAUGUCCUUGUCUGUGUUUCAUAUAUUCCCAAGAGUGUUGGAAGAACAGCGUAUGGCAAGUUAAAAAAAAAGUCUAUCAAAUAAUGUCUCCAGAAAUUCAUCUAAGAAGGCAUUAACUUGGGUCUCACAUUAAGAAUUGUGGCUCAUUGGUGGUUAGCCAUUCCAGGCCCUUUAGUAUAUAUAACUUCUUCUAUAUGUAAUUCUGUAGCACCUGAACCUGGUGCUAACUUUGUUCAAGACUACAUCUCUAGUCCCCUGAAUGCUACUUAGCACAUAGUAUGCCUACCCUAAAUAUUGUUAAAAGAAACUGAUAUUCAGAGAUCUUAAGUAUCUAGUUCCCAAACUAGCAAGCAUCAAAACAAAAAAUUUGAAUCCAGGUCUAUGUGGCUCCAAUUCAUGCUUUUCUUAUGUUCAUUCAUGCAUUAUAUGAUUUACUUAAUGCUCUCAGGAUUUUUAGCAAAUUAUGGGAUAUAACCAACACACCAAAGAUGUAAAUAAAAUGUUAUGUAAUUUUAAUAUAUAUUGUUGA